rnacentral:tRNA from 1 species
GAGGGUAUAGCUCAGUGGUAGAGUGCGUGCACAAGGUCCUGGGUUCAAUCCCCAGUACCUCCA